rnacentral:rRNA from 1 species
UUGGAGGGCAGUCUGGUGCCAGCAGCGCGGUAAUUCCAGCUCCAAUAGCGUAUAUUAAAGUUGUUGCAGUUAAAAAGCUCGUAGUUGAAUUUCGGGAUUAGUACGCUGGUCGUGCCUUCGGUACGUACUGGUGUUACUGAUUUCUACCUUCUGACGAACCAUCAUGUCAUUAAUUUGGUGUGGUGGGGAAUCAGGACUGUUACUUUGAAAAAAUUAGAGUGUUUAAAGCAGGCUCGCGCUUGAAUACAUUAGCAUGGAAUAAUGAAAUAGGACGUUGAUCCUAUUUUGUUGGUUUCUAGGAUUGACGUAAUGAUUAAUAGGGAUAGUUGGGGGCAUUAGUAUUCAAUUGUCAGAGGUGAAAUUCUUGGAUUUAUUGAAGACUAACUACUGCGAAAGCAUUUGCCAAGGAUGUUUUCAUUAAUCAAGAGCGAAAGUUAGGGGAUCGAAGACGAUCAGAUACCGUCGUAGUCUUAACCAUAAACUAUGCCGACUAGGGAUCGGAUGAUGUUAUUUUUAAUGACUCAUUCGGCGCCUUACGGGAAAC